UAGAUCUGCCCUUGUGGGUGGGGGUGCCGAUUGCAUGGUUCACCUAGGGCGCCAGUUGCUGACAGCUAGUCUAGGGCCGCCCCGGUGGUAUGAGAUCUAGAGCUGAGUGACUCACUUCAGUGAUGAUAGAGAGAGGCUGAAUAAGCGGAGAACAUGAUGAACGUAUACAUACAUUGAGUAUUGCCAACUCUCUCAAUUUUAAUAUGUCUCAUGAUAUUUGGUGUCUUUCUUAAAGCCCAGCUCCCGGAGUCAAGUGAUUAUGUGAGAAUGUCAGCUUUCAUUUAAAAAAAAAAAAAAAAAAAAAAAGAGUUUCUAGCCCUCAUGGUUCUGGAGAAAGUGUAGCCCUCUGAAGGCUUAAAAUCCAGAAGGCAAAUAAAAAACCCUAAAAUGUAUUAUCUUAAUAACCUUACUAUUUUUGAACCCAUUCAUGAUUUUUGGGGCCUGAUUUUUUAUUUGUUUGAAUGCAUGGGGCUGGCAAUCCUGCCAGGGUGCUCAGCACUGUGCAGGAGUGAUCCUUAAAUGUCUAAAAUAAAUAAAAAAUUAGGUCUGGUUUCUUUUGCUAUAGCGUGAGACUUUCAUCAAGAAUCAGAAAAUCAGUUCUGAGGUGGUCCAUAUACUUAGAUUCACCCUAGAGUGAUAUGGGUGAGAGUGCACUGUCCCUAUACUGGUUCCGCUGAUGAAAUGGAGGAUUUCAGACUUCACAGAAUAGAAGCCACCACUGUUCUAUUUUAUUCACUUCUUUGUGAGCCAGCAGGACUUGAACUGAAGCAGCACUGAGAGGAACAGUUUGCCUCAUUAAAAUAAUACGUUUGAUACUGUAUAUGAGAAGACCAACGUGAAAUAGUGUUCUGUUUUGGAAAUGUUUACCAUUGGAGCUCAUGCAUUGACAUCGAAAACAUCAGCAUAGAACUGGGAACAGGGCUUCUUAAUUCACAUGUGCUCCCUCUACUGGUUCUGCAGGAGCAAAAUAUAAAAGGCUGGCUAUUCUGUGUGCUACAUUCUGUAAACACUAAAUAUUGUUUAUUAAUUUCUCAGUAAAAGUAUGAAUAUAUAUUCUGAAUUCAUGUGGCAUUUCCCAUGGAUUGUAGUAAUUUCUAGGAAGUUAACAUUUAAGUUCUAGACUUUAAAGUAGCACUAAUAAAGUCGGAUGGGACAAAACCCUGGGGUCCUUAUUCAACUUUUACUCAAAUGUUUAAUAGGAGUUUUGAACGAGUAAAAACCAAAUAAGGGCCUCCUAAUUUGGAUUUAUAAAAUGUCCCUUUAGCAGGUGCACGGUGGUACUGAAUGGUUUGGUAAGCCUGAAUGAAACCAAUUUUUUUACAUGUGUAAAAGCUGCUGUUGGUACAAGUUUAAUAGCUUCUUCUGCUUAGUUCCUUUCCUGUUGUAUUAAUGUUUUUUUUUUUAAUUACUGUUAGGAAAGCUUUAAAUAAGAGAUGACUGAAAAUGUCAUACUUAAAUAAAAAUAUGAUCAGA